rnacentral:rRNA from 1 species
UACGUAGGUGGCAAGCGUUGUCCGGAUUUGCUGGGCGUAAAGCGCACGCAGGCGGCUGGCUAAGUCUGAUGUGAAAUCUCCCGGCUUAACCGGGAGGGGUCAUCGGAUACUGGCCGGCUCGAGGAAGGUAGAGGAGAGUGGAAUUCCCGGUGUAGUGGUGGAAUGCGUAGAUAUCGGGAGGAACACCAGUGGCGAAGGCGACUCUCUGGGCCUUUCCUGACGCUGAGGUGCGAAAGCGUGGGGAGCAAACCGGAUUAGAUACCCCUGUAGU